rnacentral:rRNA from 1 species
CUGAGAGGUUGAACGGCCACAUUGGGACUGAGACACGGCCCAGACUCCUACGGGAGGCAGCAGUGGGGAAUAUUGCACAAUGGGGGAAACCCUGAUGCAGCGACGCCGCGUGGAGGAAGAAGGUCUUCGGAUUGUAAACUCCUGUUGUUGAGGAAGAUAAUGACGGUACUCAACAAGGAAGUGACGGCUAACUACGUGCCAGCAGCCGCGGUAAAACGUAGGUCACAAGCGUUGUCCGGAAUUACUGGGUGUAAAGGGAGCGCAGGCGGGAAGACAAGUUGGAAGUGAAAUCUAUGGGCUCAACCCAUAAACUGCUUUCAAAACUGUUUUUCUUGAGUAGUGCAGAGGUAGGCGGAAUUCCCGGUGUAGCGGUGGAAUGCGUAGAUAUCGGGAGGAACACCAGUGGCGAAGGCGGCCUACUGGGCACCAACUGACGCUGAGGCUCGAAAGUGUGGGUAGCAAACAGGAUUAGAUACCCCGGUAGUCCACACCGUAAACGAUGAUUACUAGGUGUUGGAGGAUUGACCCCUUCAGUGCCGCAGUUAACACAAUAAGUAAUCCACCUGGGGAGUACGACCGCAAGGUUGAAACUCAAAGGAAUUGACGGGGGCCCGCACAAGCAGUGGAGUAUGUGGUUUAAUUCGACGCAACGCGAAGAACCUUACCAAGUCUUGACAUCCCUUGACGAACAUAGAAAUAUGUUUUCUCUUCGGAGCAAGGAGACAGGUGGUGCAUGGUUGUCGUCAGCUCGUGUCGUGAGAUGUUGGUUAAGUCCCGCAACGAGCGCAACCCUUAUGGUCAGUUACUACGCAAGAGGACUCUGGCCAGACUGCCGUUGACAAAACGGAGGAAGGUGGGGAUGACGUCAAAUCAUCAUGCCCUUUAUGACUUGGGCUACACACGUACUACAAUGGCGUUAAACAAAGAGAAGCAAGACCGCGAGGUGGAGCAAAUCUCAGAAACAACGUCCCAGUUCGGACUGCAGGCUGCAACUCGCCUGCACGAAGUCGGAAUUGCUAGUAAUCGCAGAUCAGCAUGCUGCGGUGAAUACGUUCCCGGGCCUUGUACACACCGCCCGUCACACCAUGAGAGCCGGGGGGACCCGAAGUCGGUAGUCUAACCGCAAGGAGGACGCCGCCGAAGGUAAAACUGGUGAUUGGGGUGAAGUCGUAACAAGGUAGCCGUAGGAGAACCUGCGGCUG